GUUCUGCUUAAAUGGAUGGAGAUGAAAUAAAAAAGGUGGUAGAACUAGAAAUCAGAAGUACGAAGAGAUUUCCACGCUAUUGCAGUUGUAAACUUGGUUCUUUCUUUGCUUAUUACUCGGUAGAUGAAAUAAAAAAAUAAUAGAUGUCAAAUGAGCUAGCGACAACCCUACGGUCAAAACCUAUAGAACUGAGUCACACUAUGAGCCCCGUAUCAAUUGCCAAAUACUAUAUUGUGAAUUAUGAAAUUUGAAGGAAAAACACGAAAUGGUUGCAUUUGAAAUAAUUAUUUUAAAAUGUCAAUUAAUCUGGGUGAUUCGGUCUUUAAAGAAAAUGUCAUUAACCCAUUCAAUACGAAUGGGUAAAAAAAUACACAAGAAUGGAGCUGUCUUAGAAAAAUCCAGCUCGAGCUAAUGGAAUUUGAAGUGGACGACUUGAAUUACUUGAAACAAAUUUUCCCGUGAUAUAAGGACAUGUUUUGUGGGAAAUUGACUUGUCGAAAGUCGGCCAUUUUUUACAUCCAUAAAUAUCAAACAAAAAUUUUUCUCAAAAUUGUUAGGUGUGAGAUUUCUGGAAUCCAUUUAAUUUUCUUGUUGCAUUUGAUGGUUUCUAUAUUAAAAAAUAAAUUUAUGUAGUUAAAUCCA